rnacentral:lncRNA from 1 species
CUUUGCCCCGUGUCACCCAGGCGGCCGGUUGCCCUCUCCAAAAUAACCAAAAGUAUUUCUUCUGUGUCCUUCCGAGCAAGUACUUUUCUCUCGUCUUUCUCUUUGUGGACAGAGGUCUUGUUUGUCUUUUCCAGGAGACACUGGAGGAGUCUUAAUAUUCAAAUCCCAAAGGGGAUAGAUUCUAAGAUGGCACCUGUGCUCCUGUCUGCUGAGGUCUCAGGCAGGGGAGGACCCAGAGGCUCAGAGGCAAGAUGUCGAAGAGAAAUAAAAGGCUCAGAAGUGGAAGAAUGAGCUUAGAGAUGAAAGAUUUGGUUCAAGUUCUAGCUCCUCCACGAUGUGACCUUGAAGCACGAGCCACAAAGCAAUUUGGACAGGAAUGGACGGACUGAUGGAAUCAUAGCAAAGAAGCAAAGACUGUCGAAUGAGUCCAAAGGCUGACGGAAGAUGUUGUUAGGAUUUAAAGUCAGAAUGCGUG